rnacentral:sRNA from 1 species
CUAAGCCCCCUCUUCUUCAGAGGAGGGGGUUGGGGGUGGUGGAUACCUGGCGCACGCCUUCGCACCACCCCCGGCCCCUCCUCUGAAGAGGAGGGGAGAUGG